rnacentral:rRNA from 1 species
UACGUAGGGCGCAAGCGUUAUCCGGAAUUGUUGGGCGUAAAGAGCUCGUAGGCGGUUUGUCGCGUCUGCCGUGAAAGUCCGGGGCUUAACCCCGGAUCUGCGGUGGGUACGGGCAGACUAGAGUGCAGUAGGGGAGACUGGAAUUCCUGGUGUAGCGGUGAAAUGCGCAGAUAUCAGGAGGAACACCGAUGGCGAAGGCAGGUCUCUGGGCUGUAACUGACGCUGAGGAGCGAAAGCAUGGGGAGCGAACAGG